rnacentral:rRNA from 1 species
AUGCUCCACCGCCCGCCGGUGAAGAGGUUGAGCGAGAUGGUCUUCGGGGACUCAUCGUCAGCUGAAGAGGAAGAAGAAGACGAAGACUUUGAAAUAAUUUUAGGCAUGACUUUCAAUGAUGAUAUUCCGCUCCCUACAACGGGGUCGCAGUUUGGCAUACACAUUAACCGUGACAGAGCGGAGGGCCAUGCCAAGAUCAUGAGAGGUUACUUUGAUCCAAAGCCAAUGUAUCCAAAGAAGUACUUUCGCCGACACUUUUGGAUGCACCCAAGUCUUUUUCUGACCAUUGCAAAAGCCGUUGAGUAG